GGCCAGGUAGCUCAGUUGGUUAGAGUGUUGUCCUAAUAUGCCAAGGUUUCAGGUUCGAUUCCUGGUCAGGGCA
rfam:Myotis davidii contig175981, whole genome shotgun sequence.